rnacentral:rRNA from 1 species
UACGGAGGAUGCAAGCGUUAUCCGGAUUCAUUGGGUUUAAAGGGUGCGUAGGCGGAGAGAUAAGUCAGUGGUGAAAAACUGCCGCUCAACGGUAGUCUUGCCAUUGAUACUGUCUUUCUUGAGUAUGGAUGAGGUAGGCGGAAUGUGCAGUGUAGCGGUGAAAUGCAUAGAUAUUGCACGGAACACCAAUUGCGAAGGCAGCUUACUGGACCAUUACUGACGCUCAGGCACGAAAGCGUGGGGAUCAAACAGGA